AACUCAUCUCGAAAUGAAAGAUUUAUAACACAAUUUAAACAGAGCAAAAUUCGUUACCGGAGCCGUAAUGCUGAACCGAUGUGGAAGCUAAGUCUUGAUAUCCUUAACAACGACGAAACCUAUGUUUUAAACAAAACGUCGAGAUUGCGCGGCAAAGCGGCGACGACGAUUGCUGGAAUCCGGUUGUGAUAUUUGCCGGAAAAGUUGCUUGAGCGGCGAGGAAUACAUUGCUCGCAUAUUGGUUGUAUGAUGAGUCGUUGACGGUGCAUGCGUUGGCUUUUGAGGGUCGUCGAUGUUUGGACGGUGGGGUAACGGCGGAAGAAGAACAGAUCGGAGAAGUACGGUGCUAGGUGGUGGUUUCCGGCGUUUGAUUUGGAGACAUCGAGGGGAUCGC
rnacentral:lncRNA from 1 species